GACAAGAAGGCAUCUUCUUGUUUUUAAAAGACCUAGCAAUAGGUAUGCUUAGGGAGGAGCUUGCGUCACAUUAGUUAGUUGGUGGGGUAAAGGCCUACCAAGACUAUGAUGUGUAGCCGGGCUGAGAGGUUGAACGGCCACAUUGGGACUGAGACACGGCCCAAACUCCUACGGGAGGCAGCAGUAGGGAAUUUUCGGCAAUGGAGGAAACUCUGACCGAGCAACGCCGCGUGAACGAUGAAGUAUUUCGGUACGUAAAGUUCUUUUAUUAGGGAAGAAUAAAUGAUGGAAAAAUCAUUCUGACGGUACCUAAUGAAUAAGCCCCGGCUAACUAUGUGCCAGCAGCCGCGGUAAUACAUAGGGGGCAAGCGUUAUCCGGAAUUAUUGGGCGUAAAGGGUGCGUAGGCGGUUAAAUAAGUUUAUGGUCUAAGUGCAAUGCUCAACAUUGUGAUGCUAUAAAAACUGUUUAGCUAGAGUAAGAUAGAGGCAAGUGGAAUUCCAUGUGUAGUGGUAAAAUGCGUAAAUAUAUGGAGGAACACCAGUAGCGAAGGCGGCUUGCUGGGUCUUUACUGACGCUGAGGCACGAAAGCGUGGGGAGCAAACAGGAUUAGAUACCCUGGUAGUCCACGCCGUAAACGAUGAGUACUAAACGUUGGGUAAAACCAGUGUUGAAGUUAACACAUUAAGUACUCCGCCUGAGUAGUACGUACGCAAGUAUGAAACUUAAAGGAAUUGACGGGACUCCGCACAAGCGGUGGAUCAUGUUGUUUAAUUCGAAGGUACCCGAAAAACCUCACCAGGUCUUGACAUGCUUCUGCAAAGCUGUAGAAACACAGUGGAGGUUAUCAGUUGCACAGGUGGUGCAUGGUUGUCGUCAGCUCGUGUCGUGAGAUGUUGGGUUAAGUCCCGCAACGAGCGCAACCCUUAUUGUUAGUUACCAGCACGUAAUGGUGGGGACUUUAGCAAGACUGCCAGUGAUAAAUUGGAGGAAGGUGGGGACGACGUCAAAUCAUCAUGCCCCUUAUGACCUGGGCUACAAACGUGAUACAAUGGCUGUUACAAAGGGUAGCUGAAGCGCAAGUUUUUGGCGAAUCUCAAAAAAACAGUCUCAGUUCGGAUUGAAGUCUGCAACUCGACUUCAUGAAGUUGGAAUCGCUAGUAAUCGCGAAUCAGCAUGUCGCGGUGAAUACGUUC
rnacentral:rRNA from 1 species